AACGAACGCUGGCGGCAUGCCUAACACAUGCAAGUCGAACGAGACCUUCGGGUCUAGUGGCGCACGGGUGCGUAACGCGUGGGAACCUGCCCUUAGGUUCGGAAUAACUCCCCGAAAGGGGUGCUAAUACCGGAUAAUGUCUUCGGACCAAAGAUUUAUCGCCUUUGGAUGGGCCCGCGUUGGAUUAGCUAGUUGGUAGGGUAAAAGCCUACCAAGGCGACGAUACAUAGCUGGUCUGAGAGGAUGAUCAGCCACACUGGGACUGAGACACGGCCCAGAAUCCUACGGGAGGCAGCAGUGGGGAAUAUUGGACAAUGGGCGAAAGCCUGAUCCAGCAAUGACGCGUGAGUGAUGAAGGCCUUAGGGUUGUAAAGCUCUUUUACCCGGGAUGAUAAUGACAGUACCGGGAGAAUAAGCUCCGGCUAACUCCGUG
rnacentral:rRNA from 1 species